rnacentral:tRNA from 1 species
GGGCUGGUAGCUCAGUUGGUUAGAGCGCACGCUUGAUAAGCGUGAAGUCGGAGGUUCGAGUCCUCCUCGGCCCA